ACAAGCUGCAGUUGGUGUAUCAACUAAGUCAUCUGGUAAUCUAAUAAAGUGCUCCCAACAAGCAGAUGAUUGCCUAGAACCACUUGCACUAGCUUUCCUCUUCUUUGUAGGUUGGGUAUUAACUAAUUCUGCUCCAACAACUUCAGUUGUUGCUGUUGAACCAACUUCAUUCAUGACAUAUUCAGUAGGUAUAGUUUGAUUAGGCUGACCCAUCACUGAAAAAUGACGGAGCCAUAAUCAACAUAAUUGAAGGAAAAGCAGGUUGCAAAAUUUAAAAUAGAAAUCAAGUAAAAAUUGGCUAUUUGAAAAAAGUCAUUAACAGAUAAAAUAACAUGAAAAUAGAUGAUAGCUAUUUGAGUUGAAAAUGAAAUGCACUGAAUUUCUACAAUGACUUAAGAAUGUUUGGAUAACUUACUUCAGCUUAUUAACCAACAUAAUUUACUUUUAAUUAUAAGUUCAACAAGAUAAUUUGUAAAAAC
rnacentral:lncRNA from 1 species